GAACAUUGACGAAGUCUGAAAGAAGUUCGAAGUAAAGUCAUUGGUGGCUGGAAGAAGUCUGGAAGAGAUUCGGAGAAUAGUCGAUCACUAUAGAAAAUCGACUGAUAGUGAAGCUCGGAAAGUAUUUGGAGCAGCCCGGUAUAUGAAUGGAGGAGCUCAUUAUCGGAGAAGUCCAGAUGGUAUCAUGGAAGCUCGGACGGUUGGGAAAGUUCAGAAAGAUGCCAC
rnacentral:lncRNA from 1 species